AGUGGAGGUUGGGAAGCCUCUCCUCCUUCCCCCUCCCUCUUUGCCUCCACCUGGCUCCUCCCCAUGUUCGUCCAUCACCCCUCCCCCCUUUCCCAAGGACAAUCUGCAAGAAAGCAGCGGCGGAGGAGAGCUAAGACUAAAAGAGUGGAUCAUGACCCAUGAAGAGCACCAUGCAGCCAAAACCCUGGGGAUUGGCAAAGCCAUUGCUGUCUUAACCUCUGGUGGAGAUGCCCAAGAGAUGGGACGGGAUCGGCCAGGUGCAGUGGCUCACACCUGUAAUCCCAGGACUUUGGGAGGCCGAGGCGGGCAGAUCACCCGAGGUUGGGAGUUCGAGACCAGCCUGACCAACAUGGAGAAACCCCGUCUCUACUAAAAAUACAAAAUUAGCUGGGCGUGGUGGUGCAUGCCUGUAAUCCCAGCCACUUGGGAGGCUGAGGCAGGAGAAUCGCUUGAACCCGGGAGGCAGAGGUUGCGGUAUGAAUGCUGCUGUCAGGGCUGUGGUUCGAGUUGGUAUCUUCACCGGUGCCCGUGUCUUCUUUGUCCAUGAGGGUUAUCAAGGCCUGGUGGAUGGUGGAGAUCACAUCAAGGAAGCCACCUGGGAGAGCGUUUCGAUGAU
rnacentral:lncRNA from 10 species